UACGGAGGGUGCAAGCGUUAUCCGGAUUCACUGGGUUUAAAGGGUGCGUAGGUGGGCAGGUAAGUCAGUGGUGAAAUCUCCGGGCUUAACCCGGAAACUGCCAUUGAUACUAUCUGUCUUGAAUACCGUGGAGGUGAGCGGAAUAUGUCAUGUAGCGGUGAAAUGCUUAGAUAUGACAUAGAACACCAAUUGCGAAGGCAGCUCACUACACGAAUGAUUGACACUGAGGCACGAAAGCGUGGGGAUCAAACAGG
rnacentral:rRNA from 1 species